AUCAAAGGUCACGAUAGCUAAGAUGAGCCUGAAGGAGAAAUGUAUAGAUGCUGUUUCAUCUCUGCUUUCCAGAUCAUCUUUGGCAUUGCACUUCUGAGGUCAUCACCAUCUUUCUUCAGCCAAACAAAAUGAUUCUCACCAACCACGCCGGCUCUGCUAAGCUUGAUGUUGGAGGUCUGCUGUUUUUGAAGCAGGGGACCACUGUCCAUUAAAGGCUUCAUAAACCAUUUAACAAAAUCACAUAAGAUAGUGUAGUUCAUACUCCAUGCGAUGUGCCAUACAAUGGAAGGGCCAUGUUCCUUAUCACAUCUGGAUACUGCAAAGCUCCUGUCUCCUCAACAAUUUACGAACUAAUCAAUUAUUAAAUGAAGAAAUGCUAUGUAAAAGCAAAGAUAUUUCUUCCUGUGGAAUUUGAGUUUUAAAUGUAGUAAUUACUGUUUUAUGGCAUAAAUAAAAGUUAAAUAUUAUAUUAUUUUAAAAGCAUCAUGUAUCUUUUUUCAUUCCUAAUGUAUUCUACUAGUAGUGUGUCAGGCACUUUAACCCUUAUGAAAAAAGCCAAGGAAAAUAGAGAGCAUCAUAUCAAAACAACUGUUUAUUUGCACAUGCAACAUUAAACUAUGGUAUACAU